CCGCGGGUCUGGCUGCGCCGGGCGGGGAGCGUGCCCGGAGCAUGCAGCGGGCGGGCUGGGACGGACGCGGGCGUUGGGGCGCGCUUCAAAGCCCCCCCGGGCACGCCAGCUCGCGGCGAAGCGCUGCGAGUGCUCCGCUCACGCCCGCCCCGCUCAUUUUGCUUUCGCUCCCUCGCAGCAGCCGGAGAAAGAGAAGAAAGCAAAGCCGGUUCCUUAAAUCCUGGGGGCGAGAGGAUUUCAGAGCCAUGGGCGGCGGAGAGCGGCGAGCGGGCACCGAGGCUGGAAACCAGGUCACAGGCGGGAGAGUCCUGACCCCGGCGCCAGAAGUUGGAGGGGACACAUGCUCUGUCCCCAGCUCUCCUCCAGCGGGGCGCGGGCGCUCGGUCCUCCCGCUCCUCCUGCUCGCGGCAGAGCUUUUCCAGCCGGCUGCAGCCGCGGUUGUUAAGGUGGAUGGAAGCGCCUCCGGUAUUUUCUCCCCUACCUCCUCGCUCAGCAGCCUGGGGCUACGGGGAGGGGAGGCUGUGCAGUUUCAGGAGAUGCCCGAUGUUGCCAAGAAAGAAUAAUAAAUAAAUAAACCCACAGAAAAAAAGCAGCAGAAAGGCGCAGGGGAGGGAGCAGCCGACGGCGCGCUGCAGCUCCGCUCCUGCCAGCCCAGGGACGGGGAGCCGGUGCCGUCGGUAUGUGGCGGAGCAGCGAGCGAGCUCUAAUCUGUUCCUCUGGCUGACCCAGGGCUCAUUGCAUCUGAAUGUGACCUCUAGACAGAGCAUUAAUAACGAACGUGGCACUGACCCAAGCUGACAAGGGGUGCGGCCGCUUGGCACCGGCUCCCUCCCUCCCUCUCUCACUUUCUGUCUCCCUCGCUCUCAUCUGAAUGUCAGCGGCAGGGGGAGGGAUCCAGGAAAACAAAGCUUGGCUAAUAGUUUCCUCCGCUCUGAAGUGAAUCAAAGGCGCUUUUCUUUGGGGAGGUGCACGCCGGCGAGCCCAGCGGGGACAACGUGCCCCCAGCGUGGCUUGGCCCCGCAGCCCGCGCCGCUGGAGAGCUUUGGGAGAGGACGCGGGACGGCGCAGCCGAGCCGAGCCAACGCAGGGGCUGCGUGGGCAGCGGUGCCACCACGGCCUCUGCCUUGGCAUGAGCAAACGGCGGCUGGAGCGUCGCAGAGCAGGAAGGAAGAGGAGCCCGGAGAGCUGGGAGCACCUCAACGUGUGCUCGGAGGGGUAGAUGAGGGGGCACCGAGGCGGGUGGGAGCCGGCCGCUCACGGCCCCUUGGCUCUCCGCAGCUGCGGGUUUUUACGUGAUCCUUUCCAAGGCUCCCCGGCACGGCCGCCCUGCUCCACCCAGCUCUGGGAGAGGGUGGAGGGAGCCCGUAAAAGGGUCCCUUAAUGGGAGCUCGUGCGGAUUAACAGGACGGGGUUACAAGGGAAAAAAAUAAGUGAUCUCAUUCCCCUACGCCUGACGGUACCUCGAGCAAUCCUCCAGCACCCCUCGCACCCACUCCCCCGCUCGGGAGCGGGGAUGGGGACACUCCUGGCACAGCCAAAACUGUAACCCAGCCCUGGAGAAAGACCAGCACCACGCAAACCAUGGCAUCCUGAAAGCGUGGUCGGCGUCGCUGGCAACCAGCGCUCUGCUGCCAGCCAAACUAGCGCGCCGCAGCGAUGCUUUCCCCCGCUGAUCUCAGAGAGGUUCGCAGCGUGCGGGCGCGCGUGGGAGAACCGACACAAAGAAGCCCUGCUCGCCCAGGAGCUGUGUGCCCAGGAGGGCCCCUCUGUCCGCGCUGCUCGCACCCGCCCCCGUGACGCCUCCAUCCCAGUGCUUCCAUCCCAGAGCCUCCAUCCCAGCGUCUCCAUCCCAGCCCUCCCCGGCCAGGCCACACGGAGGAAAGGCGUGAGGAACACGAUUUUGGCUCUGCCCCUACAGCGAGGAGCGCAGAGCCUCGGCACGGCGUGGGAGGAACUCAGACCCAGUCCUGCCUUCUCCUACUUGGAAGCCCUCCGUGCAGCUCUGCCCUUCCAGAGCUCUCCAACUCACUUCCAGAGCCCUGCCUGGUGCGGCCGCUCGGCUCUGGCGUCUCGCUGUCCCAGGGCUGGUUCCCCUACGAUGCGCCUGCCCGACCUUUCCCUACAGCAGAGGAGGGGGGUUUCAUGCCACGCACAAAAAAGCUGAUGGUGAGGCUGAUCUACCCACUUGCCAGUGCCAAGAGCAGAGGUCACCAUCCUCCUCUUCCCAGGCACACCAAGGCGCUAAGCCGCAGCGGCUCUGCAGCCUCCUGCAGCCCCUGAGGUUACCUCCGGAGUUUGGUCGCGCUGCGAGUCGGAAACCCCCAGCCUGCCAGUCCCUGGAAAUGCCAAACAGAGCCACUUCGAAGCAGCAGCGCGGCUACUUCCUGGCAAAGGGGAAUUUGGCUUCUCUGCAGAAGUCUGGCGUUGAAACCUCGGUUUCCCGGGUUGUAGCAGGCAGGGGAACGUCAGCCCAGCAACCAGGCUUUGCAACAGCAAAUCCCCCUGCCCCAGCCUGGCCCCCGGGCUGGAAUAACGGGGUCAGGCUCCGCUUACGCAGGAGCAGGAACCACUACGUGCUCCCACACUUCAUCUUCCACCCAGGCUUUGGCGGCUGGUUUUAGGACUCCUUAAGCGCACGUCCAGCAUCCAGCACAAAACAGCGAGAGGCGCUUUUUUCCGACCAGAUGCGAUCUCCAAAACAAAGCAGCGCUCAGAAAAGAUCCCUCCAGCAGCACUCCCCUGCUCGGCACCUGCUCACCCCGCUGCCUGGCUCCGGGCCAGGCUGCUUGAUUAAAGUCUAUCCAUUAAGUUUUGCAUCCGUAGAGAGCUACGCUCAGCAACGCGCGAGAUUGGCACCGGGCUGCAAAGAGGGUUGGAACAGCUCAAAGGCGAGCGAGCCAAACGUUUUGGGAUAUUCACAGGCAAAGUAAUCCGAGUCCACAGCUCCCACCGGCACCUGGGAAGCCGGAGCUCCAGAACGUGUAAUCGCCAUCCUUGCAGCAGGUGCAUUUUCCAAACCGAGCUGAAGCCACUAACGUGCCUGCCUGCGCCUGCCAUCCCCGAACGGCGCUCAUUUCCAUUUUAAUUUCGCAUUUACAAUCCUCACCGGGCCAGGAGAAUCAGCAGCCACGCAAGCAGGAUGCACGGGCUGGGGAUGUGAACCCGGCAGCGGAUCGACAGGACGUGACUUUGGAAAAAAUUAAAGCAGCGAGAGGGCUGGCACGGGAGCUGCGCGGAGGGAGGGGGAAGUGGCAAGCGGGGCUGUGCCACACUCAGCACUUUUUCAAAACGGUCUCAGCAGAGGCUCUGAAUCAGCUCAGGAUGUCGAGAGCCCCGCUCCUGCCCGCAGCUCUCGCGAGCUCCCCACUGCACGCCAGGGAGGGCUGGGAAGCCGCAGCUGCCCCCGCACGGCGGAGCGCCGGGGUUUGCCACCCACAAAUUGCUGAACAUCAGAGUUACCAACACAGGCGGAUGCCCUCAGCACAUCUGAAACCGAUCGCGCAGAUAGGACGAGGCUUCAGAGGGCGAAGCCUCAUGCUACGCACAGCAGAAGCUGCAGGAAGCAGCAGAUGAAACGUCUUCCCCAUUUCCUACAGCCGGCUCUGCUCUCGCGGGACGCACGUGGGCUGUGGCCGCAAGGCCGCCGGCACAGAUGUCCUGGGGGUCAGCACAGCUCCCGGGGCCACUGAAGCUGGGCAAGCACCGCGCACCAACACCUGACACCCCUCUCGUUUCCCCCCAAGCCGCCCACUGAGGCUACUGCGAGAAACCAGCAGCGAGACAGGCGGGAUCUGCCCCACCGCCCUGCGGUCAGGCACCCUCCAUCGCCAGCUGCUGGGUUGGCUCCAGCAGCACCAACACAAGAAAGAAAACA